AUUGAACGCUGGCGGAAUGCUUUACACAUGCAAGUCGAGCGGCAGCGCGGGGCAACCUGGCGGCGAGCGGCGAACGGGUGAGUAAUGUAUCGGAACGUAUCCUUAAGUGGGGGACAACUAGUCGAAAGACUAGCUAAUACCGCAUACGAUCGAGAGAUGAAAGUGGGGGACCGCAAGGCCUCACGCUUUUGGAGCGGCCGAUAUCCGAUUAGCUUGUUGGUGAGGUAAAGGCUUACCAAGGCUAUGAUCGGUAGCUGGUCUGAGAGGAUGAUCAGCCACACUGGGACUGAGACACGGCCCAGACUCCUACGGGAGGCAGCAGUGGGGAAUUUUGGACAAUGGGGGCAACCCUGAUCCAGCCAUUCCGCGUGAGUGAAGAAGGCCUCGG
rnacentral:rRNA from 1 species